rnacentral:rRNA from 1 species
GACGAACGCUGGCGGCGUGCUUAACACAUGCAAGUCGAGCGGUAAGGCCCUUUCGGGGGUACACGAGCGGCGAACGGGUGAGUAACACGUGGGUGACCUGCCCUCAGCUCUGGGAUAAGCCUGGGAAACCGGGUCUAAUACCGGAUAUGACUCCAUGACGCAUGUUGUGGGGUGGAAAGCCUUGUGCGGCUGAGGAUGGGCCCGCGGCCUAUCAGCUUGUUGGUGGGGUGAUGGCCUACCAAGGCGACGACGGGUAGCCGGCCUGAGAGGGCGACCGGCCACACUAGGACUGAGACACGGCCCAGACUCCUACGGGAGGCAGCAGUGGGGAAUCUUGCGCAAUGGGCGAAAGCCUGACGCAGCGACGCCGCGUGA